GCUCGGCUCCCCGCCCGCUUCCUUCUCCACCCCCUCUCUCGCCUGCCAGGCCUGGGCGACAGUGCUAAGCAAAGAGCAAGUGAAAGGAAGGGAGGAGGAAGGCGCGGCUCAGAGGCUGGACUUGCGACAGCAACAAGGAGGUGCUUAGCUCCCGCUCGGACUUAGGAGAGCGCCUUUCCUCUCCUGGAGCUGUUGUUUACAACCAAGAUUGGAUUUCCUCCAGAUGUGUACCUGGGGCCAGGCCCACUACAGGCAUAAGCAAGGGAAGGGAGCCUGGCUUUAAGAGUUCCCACUAAAGCUUCAAAAAGGUUGGCACAUUUCUCAUCAGCAAACAGCACUCCAAACUUCACACUCAGUGUCCCAUCAGGAUCUGGACAAAAGAAAGCAUGAUGAUGAAAUGGCAUACAACACUUCAGCUCCACUCAGCAUUUGGACCUGGAGAUUUUCAAGGUUUCUAAUUUCAUUUAGUUAGGUUAUUGUAACUCUAGCCACAUUCAUCACAAUGUAAAUGUGAAAAUAUAACCAAUAUGCUACUUAUUAAAUAGAAAAUACAACUGGCGCACAAAUCAGUAAAAACUAUUACUAAAUCCAAGUCCGUUAGAUCAAAUAUUAAAUUUUCUGAUGGCUUCCUCUUUCAAUUUUUAUAGGUCGCUAUGAAAUAAAGCAAAUGAAAAACUGUAUCAAAUUAAUAACUCUGCAGCAUUAUCUUGUGUUUACUGGCACUGCUCAAGAAGGUAGCAAGAGAAAUCUGUAAUUUUGUGUUAGAGAAAAAACACAUUUUAACACUUCUUUAAAAAUCAGUUAACCUUUUCUUCCAUUUUUACAGUAAUUUUUACACUGAACAGUAAUCAUGAAAAUCUAGUAUAAUUUAGGCCCAAAGAAACUCAGGGUAGUCAUGAUUAACAAUGACUGGGUUCAUACAUGUUAGACAUGGUUUGCUCAAUAAACCACAACUAGCUGGGUUUGCACUACAUGUUAAGCUAUAAAAAUAUUUUACAAAUCACAAUUUGCACAAUAUACUAAGCUAAAAG